UCCAGGGUAGCCUAGUGGACAUGGCAUCUGCCCGGUAAGCGGAACAUUGUGGGUUCGUUUCCGUUCCCUGGAC
rnacentral:tRNA from 1 species